rnacentral:rRNA from 1 species
AUCGAUGAAGAACGCAGCGAAAUGCGAUAAGUAAUGUGAAUUGCAGAAUUCAGUGAAUCAUCGAAUCUUUGAACGCACAUUGCGCCCUCUGGUAUUCCGGGGGGCAUGCCUGUUCGAGCGUCAUUACACCACUCAAGCUCAGCUUGGUAUUAGGUCUCACCUGCUAAAGGCGGGCCGUAAAAUCAGUGGCGGUGCCAUCUGGCUUCAAGCUUAGUAAUUAUUCUAGCUUAGGAGUACCAGGUGUGUGCCUGCCAGCAACCCCAAUUUUUUAAAGGUUGACCUCGGAUCAGGUAGGGAUACCCGCUGAACUUAAGCAUAUCAAUAAGCGGAGGAAAAGAAACCAACAGGGAUUGCCUCAGUAACGGCGAGUGAAGCGGCAACAGCUCAAAUUUGAAAUCUGGCCUUUGGUCCGAGUUGUAAUUUGUAGAGGAUGUUUCGAGCAUGGUCCGGUCUAAGUUCCUUGGAACAGGACGUCAUAGAGGGUGAGAAUCCCGUAUGCGACUGGGUGCCUAAGCUUAUGUGAAACUCCUUCAAUGAGUCGAGUUGUUUGGGAAUGCAGCUCUAAAUGGGUGGUAAAUUUCAUCUAAAGCUAAAUAUUGGCCAGAGACCGAUAGCGCACAAGUAGAGUGAUCGAAAGAUGAAAAGCACUUUGGAAAGAGAGUUAAACAGUACGUGAAAUUGUUGAAAGGGAAGCGCUUGCAACCAGACUUGCAUGCAGUUAAUCAUCCGGUGUUCUCACCGGUGCACUUGAUUGUAUUCAGGCCAGCAUCGGUUUCAGUGGUUGGAUAAAGGCCUUGGGAAUGUAGCUUCUUUCGGGGAGUGUUAUAGCCCUCGGUGUAAUGCAGCCUACUGGGACCGAGGACCGCGCUUCGGCUAGGAUGCUGGCGUAAUGGUUGUAAGCGACCCGUCUUGAAACACGG